rnacentral:rRNA from 1 species
CUUGCUUCUCGCUGACGAGCGGCGGACGGGUGAGUAAUACUUAGGAAUCUACCUAGUAGUGGGGGAUAGCUCGGGGAAACUCGAAUUAAUACCGCAUACGACCUACGGGAGAAAGGGGGCAACUUGUUGCUCUCGCUAUUAGAUGAGCCUAAGUCGGAUUAGCUAGAUGGUGGGGUAAAGGCCUACCAUGGCGACGAUCUGUAGCUGGUCUGAGAGGAUGAUCAGCCACACCGGGACUGAGACACGGCCCGGACUCCUACGGGAGGCAGCAGUGGGGAAUAUUGGACAAUGGGGGCAACCCUGAUCCAGCCAUGCCGCGUGUGUGAAGAAGGCCUUUUGGUUGUAAAGCACUUUAAGCAGUGAAGAAGACUCCAUGGUUAAUACCCAUGGACGAUGACAUUAGCUGCAGAAUAAGCACCGGCUAACUCUGUGCCAGCAGCCGCGGUAAUACAGAGGGUGCAAGCGUUAAUCGGAAUUACUGGGCGUAAAGCGAGCGUAGGUGGCUUGAUAAGUCAGAUGUGAAAGCCCCGGGCUUAACCUGGGAACGGCAUCUGAUACUGUUAGGCUAGAGUAGGUGAGAGGAAGGUAGAAUUCCAGGUGUAGCGGUGAAAUGCGUAGAGAUCUGGAGGAAUACCGAUGGCG